UACGGAGGGUGCAAGCGUUAUCCGGAUUCACUGGGUUUAAAGGGUGCGUAGGCGGGUUGGUAAGUCCGUGGUGAAAUCCCCAAGCUUAACUUGGGAACUGCCGUGGAUACUAUCAAUCUUGAAUAUCGUGGAGGUAAGCGGAAUAUGUCAUGUAGCGGUGAAAUGCUUAGAUAUGACAUAGAACACCAAUUGCGAAGGCAGCUUGCUAAACGAUGAUUGACGCUGAGGCACGAAAGCGUGGGGAUCAAACAGG
rnacentral:rRNA from 1 species